AAUCGAAAUAAGCAGCAACAGAUAAAGGAAGGGUAUAACCUUUUCAUCAUACCACCAAAGUGAAUCUCAUUCCUUCUCACCAAUGCCACCACCUCCCGCCAGAUGGAGAACCAAGCUGACAGCUUGGUGCAGCCACCGAUGAUGGAGACUCCACCAAUCCAACCAGCACUAGCGGACCAGUUCAACCUGCUCUUCCAGCAAGUCCAGACUUUGACGGUCACCAUUUAGGCGGUCCAAAUUGUUCUUAUGCCUUCGCUAAUGGUGCUGCAGCCUGAUCAGGCUGCUCC
rnacentral:lncRNA from 1 species